UACGUAGGGUCCGAGCGUUGUCCGGAAUUACUGGGCGUAAAGAGCUCGUAGGUGGUUUGUCGCGUUGUUCGUGAAAACUCACAGCUUAACUGUGGGCGUGCGGGCGAUACGGGCAGACUAGAGUACUGCAGGGGAGACUGGAAUUCCUGGUGUAGCGGUGGAAUGCGCAGAUAUCAGGGGGAACACCGGUGGCGAAGGCGGGUCUCUGGGCAGUAACUGACGCUGAGGAGCGAAAGCGUGGGGAGCGAACAGG
rnacentral:rRNA from 1 species